rnacentral:pre_miRNA from 1 species
UGGCUUUGGUCAAAAUCAAACCGCUUCAAGUUUGACAAGUUUAUAAAAAAUAGUAAUAUCUUCGACCCAAGAUAAAUUUAUUAUAAAAAAUAUAUCUAAUUAAUAAUUUAAUAAAACUAAUUUGGUAAUAAAAAUAUUACUAUAUUUGUCUAUAAACUUAGUCAAACUUGAAGCAGUUUGACUUUGACUAAAAUUAA